AGUAAAAACAAAACAAACAAAAAUCGUGUAUCCUUUUUUAUAUAAAUAGUGUACCUAAGUUGAGAAAACAUUUUUAAUGUUAUAGAAAAAAUAAAAAUUGAAGAGGCUUGAAUUCUGAGAAAGACACUUGAAACAACAACUCCAAUCAUCACCUAUGGGUCACUCUUUUCCGAAGUCGAUAGUAGUUCCGAUUUCAAAGCGGCCACCAUGAGAGCCAACGUUGUUCAAGCCUCCACCAUCUUCUAUGACACACCUCCCACUUUAGAUAAAACCGAUAGACUGUUGGCUGAAGCAGUGAAAACGGGUCCGAACUUGUUAUGUUUCAUGAAGCAUUUGUUGGUGGCUAUCCACGUGUCGUUUUUGGUGUCCAAGGCAUAUCGCCCAACCAAUGGUAUAGAAGAUUUCAAAAAAAAAAUGUCAUUCAGCUGAGAUUGAUGUGCCUGGUGUGGUAAGACCUUAGUUCACAAAAUCACAAUUAUUGAAUGUUAGUACCAAACCUUCAACAUUAUAUUAUGUAAACCUUUGUCAACAUUUUAUUUAUGCAAAAUAUUUCCGAUCUCUUUUAACUUUAUUUAUUUACAAGACAUUUUACCUAUAUUUUAUAAGAAAUAUUAGAGUAGUAGGAUUUAGUCGACCUAAUAACAAGUGCAAAAAAGAAA